GUCUGACCUCAAGUUCUCUACCUAGUUCUCGGUGCGUUUUUCCUAAAAAAGACAGUAAGCUCCACGGCACGCCCAAGAGAUCCAGAGCCCUUCUGCAUCUACAGAUACAAGUUGCUUUCCUGAGGAAGGCUGGAGUUCAGUGAUGGGAUCAUAGCUCACUGCUGCCUCAAAUCCUUGGACUCAAGGAAUCCUCCUGCCUUGGCCUCCCAAGUAGCUGGGACUCUAGGCACAUGCCACCAGGCC